rnacentral:rRNA from 1 species
AGAGUUUGAUCCUGGCUCAGAAUGAACGCUGGCGGCGUGCUUAACACAUGCAAGUCGCACGAGAACGCUUCUGCUUGCAGGGGCUAGUGAAGUGGCGCACGGGUGAGUAACGCGUGGGUAAUCUACCCCCGGAUCCGGGAUAACCCUCCGAAAGGGGUGCUAAUACCGGAUGAAGUCAUAGGGACUGCGGUUUUUAUGAUGAAAGGUGGCCUCUCCGAGGAAGCUACUGUUUGGGGAUGAGCCCGCGUACCAUUAGCUAGUUGGUGGGGUAACGGCCUACCAAGGCAGCGAUGGUUAGCUGGUCUGAGAGGAUGAUCAGCCACACUAGAACUGACACACGGUCCAGACUCCUACGGGAGGCAGCAGUGAGGAAUUUUGCGCAAUGGGGGGAACCCUGACGCAGCAACGCCGCGUGAGUGAAGAAGGCCUUCGGGUCGUAAAGCUCUGUCGAGUGGGAAGAACAUUUAUGUGGUGAAUAUCCAUGUGAAUUGACGGUACCACAGAAGGAAGCACCGGCUAACUA